CUUUGGCACCCUCUGUCUGGAGGAUUCUGCAAGACUAAGAUACUUUACCGUAUGAGAAAGUCAGUCACACAAAUUUCGCUUGCUACUCAGGAAAAGGCUCAAUGCGUCUUUUGGAACAGACAACAAAACCGUGUAGUACAACAGGGUGUAGCUGGAAUUUGAAUAUUCUUCUUUUCUCCUUCCCCUCACCUCUUUGCUAGGCAAUUCUUGAAGAGUGAUUUUAAUUGACUAAAAUUUUAUUAAGCAGUUCUCAGCUGGUCACAGGUCACAGCCCUCACUUACCUACAAAAGUGUGCAGUCACAAUUCUGAAAUGGUAAACUGGCCAUUUCUUUACCUCAUACAAGGCAAAAAACACCAUUAGGAGAUGUUUCUCUCAGGCCAGGCUUGGUAAAGGGAUUGAUGUUUAAAUCAGAAGAUGGAAAUCGUAAAUCCAGUAUUAACAUCUGGGUAUUAUGUAAAGCCAUAAAAGCCACAAUUUAUACCUGAAAUCUGUGAUUUUAUUUGUAAUUUCUAACUUCAGCAGCUAAAAUCAUCUUUCUGAUUUGCAGUGUAUGAAGUGUCAAUCAAACUAGCAGCUCGUGUUGGUAAAAAUGUGAGUGAGCACUAUGAAAAUGAAAAUUCUGUGACCUGCUUGCUGUGUCCAGCAGACAACCAAACUCCAGCACGUUUCAAUUCAAACUAAAGUGUCCAUGUCAUUGCUAAGUCUAAUUAACAGUGUUGAUUUUUUUUUCAAAACAGGCUUAAGGUAUCUUGUUUAUGAAAAGAAACAGAAUAUGUGUAUGAGACAAAUCUAGACAUGGGGUCAUCUGCAACUGUGGAAAGACCAAUAUUUUGCUCUUUGCAUCAUAUUGUCCAUCGUUUCAGCAUCUGGAUGUCUUCCCAAGUGGUCUAGUCUGCCAUCCUGUGACACUGCUGGGGAAAUAAAUACAGAGUGAAUGGAGAUCUCCUUGAAAAUGUUGGACUGAACAUCCUGAGCACCUGGACCAAAUUUAGCAUGAAGACUGAACUGCUGUGCUUUUGCUGCCUUCACUGUUCAUCAAGUUGUCUGGUCUUACAGGUCCAAGAGCUGAUCCCAAGGACGACAGCUUCCAAGAUGUCUCAGAGAGAACCCCAAACUCUGUUCUUGGGCUCAGUGGGAGAGAAGUCUGUCUUCUGAGGAGAAAACACUGAUGCAAGAAAUCAA
rnacentral:lncRNA from 1 species